rnacentral:misc_RNA from 1 species
UCUCCGUUGGUGAACCAGCGGAGGGAUCAUUAUAGAGUUUUCUAAACUCCCAACCCAUGUGAACUUACCAUUGUUGCCUCGGCAGAAGCUGCUCGGUGCACCCUACCUUGGAACGGCCUACCCUGUAGCGCCUUACCCUGGAACGGCUUACCCUGUAACGGCUGCCGGUGGACUACCAAACUCUUGUUAUUUUAUUGUAAUCUGAGCGUCUUAUUUUAAUAAGUCAAAACUUUCAACAACGGAUCUCUUGGUUCUGGCAUCGAUGAAGAACGCAGC